GGCAGGAAGUGGAACCGAACAAUGGGAGCUCACCCCGUCGUGGGGAUUCAAACCGCAGACCUUCUGAUCGGCAACCCCCAGGCUCAGUGCUUUACACCACAGUGCCACCCGCGUCCCAGUUGUCAAAACUACAACUGCAAGGAGUUGAAAGUAAGCAGCCACAACCACUAGUUACAGACUUUAUUGCAUUACAACUUCUAUCAUCCCUGUUCAUUGAUCGUGCUGAUUUGGGCUGAGUUUUUUCAGAUUAGGGCUCCAUCAGCUCUGCUAAGAGACCAACUUCAUCAGACCCUUCCCUCAGCUGUCAUCUGCCAAUGGCACUCAUUCCAUCAGGCUACAGGAGAGGAAGAGAUGGAAUGGCAGAGUCUAUCCUUCAAUCAAUCAGCAAUGUUUGGCUCCUCCUCUUCAAAACUCUCCAUUCCGUACUCAAGGAGAUAUAGCUCUGAGGAAGCUCAGGCCAAGAAGCACAUGCCAUCAACUCCUUGUAAGAACCAUCAAUGGUCUGAGAGAACUACCAGGGCACCAGCACGAUUCCCUGGGGCUACUUGAGAGCUGUGUGACCUGAGGGAAGGCAGAAGUGAUGAAGCCCAGGGCAGGAAGCACCUACCAUCAGCUUUCAGUUGGCCUGAGAGACCUUGGCCACUCUCCAUUUUAUAGGAUUUUGUUUGUUUGUUUUCGUGUUUUACAAUUGUGAACUGCCUUUGGUACCUAAGCAGAAAGGCACCGCAUAAAUAAAAAAGAAAUACAUAAUAGACCAAGGUUGUGUUUUUCUGCACAUUUAAGGUCCCCAUCAUUUAAAGUAGUAUUAUACCACUUUUAACUGCCCUGGCUUCCCCUGAAGAAUCCUGGGAAAUGUUGUUAAUUAUAUCAUUUAUUAAUAAUAGUAAUAUCUCUUCCAUCUCUGUCACAGCUGCCACCAUGGAUAAAUUAUCUUAAAUCUCUAGACUGAAGUAUACCCUGUGGAUGUGAGCUUAAUCUGUAAUGUAAAUGAUUUUCCAAGUCUGUUUUGAUGCAAUGUGGAUGACUGCAUACAAUACUUAACAUCUGUGCAUGCAUUUGUCCUGGAAGAAAACACUCCAUGCUUGAUACGGCAAUUGUUUUUUUCAACAAAGUUUGUAACCAUACCACUUUAAACAAGCACGGCUUCCACCAAAGAAUUGUGGGGACUACCGGUAGUUUGUUAAAUGUUCUGAGAGUUGUUAUUGGGUUAAGUAAAAUAAUAGCCUUGCAAAUUUGUAAGUUAUUUUCCUUUUCCUUUCUUCUUUACACAGGUGCCUUAACAAUUGUUAUUCUUUUCAUGUCUUAUUUUACCUUGUGCACUUAUAAUUUUAUACUAGGUAUAUAUGUUUUGUUCUAUUUUCCAGUAAAGAACGUAACUCACAGGUGGUACUAUAGAGGUGUGGAGCAGAUGGUAUAGGAAACAAGCUUCCACACCCUCACCCUAAAUCCUGCUUCCUUAUAUACCACAAUUUCAAGAUAACUUAUCAGUAUCUACUAUUCUUUCCAAAGCAGGGCUCCAUCGCCUGCAAGACUGUUAUGGAAACGAUGUGCCACUUACAGAACCACAACUCCUGGAACACUUGGAAGAUUCAGGCAUAGAUUGGCAUGGGGUAGCCACAGAGUCCUGACACUUUAUGAACAUCUAACUUUAGCAAGCACCCAGAAAGGCAGGGUCUGUGUGAUAUACCCCUACUGAUGCAAUCCCAGUUCUAUUCACUUACGACUUUGAAAUUGGUGUGAGAAACGGACCUAUAAGCAAACUGACAGAUUCUCAGUGGCUUAAGAUUGUGUUCACUCAUCUGCUAACAUUAGGGAGAAUUCUUUGAGAGUAGUCCACUGUUGAUUAGUAUUUUAAAAGCUUGUGAUCUGUUAGCAUUUUGAUACAGUAAGCUGACAUGGCUACCCUUCUGGAAAUUCUCACACCAGGUGCCAGGUGAUCUCUCCAAGAAAAGUAAAAAAUGCACAUUGAGGAAAACUCUUCUCAGCAUACUGUUUGAUGCUUCAGUUCACCCAGUCUGCCCUGCAAUGAUUUUAAAACAUAAAGAGCGAACGCCUUUGGCUUUAAAAAAUAAGAAAAAACAUAAGCACCUUAUACUGUACUGUAUUAAUUAACAAAUAAAAUGAACCUCACCAGCUGUGAAUGGAUAAGCUAUGUGCUAUUGCUGUCUUAACAUUUGUGUACAUGUAUUUAUUUGCAUAGGCACCACUAAGACAGAAAUCAAAGUUCUCGGGAUGUAAGAGAAGUG